AUGCCUCACAGCCAACACAAAGUAUCCAAAACUUGGGAAAAUCCUAACAUUUCCUUGAAUGUACGGUGUUACCAUGUUGGCAUCCCAUUUGACCCCCCAUGUACAUCAACUUUAGGGAACCUUGGUUUUUAUCAGAUUGCUAAGAUGAGGAAAAUCAAUGUCGAAAAAUAUUUGAUAUCGGCAUUGGUGGAGCAUUGGCGGCCCGAGACAAACAGUUUUCACCUACCUGUAGGAGAAAUGACUAUUACGUUGCAAGAUGUCAGUUGUUUGUGGGGGUUGCCUAUCCAUGGUAAACCACUUGUUGGAAAAGUUGAUACACAAUGGUCAGAAUUAGUUGAGAGGUUGCUUGGGAUUCCUGUGGAUGAACAACACAUGAAACAAAAGAAAAGGUGA
rnacentral:rRNA from 1 species